AAAUUGAAGAGUUUGAUCAUGGCUCAGAUUGAACGCUGGCGGCAGGCCUAACACAUGCAAGUCGAACGGUAACAGGAAGCAGCUUGCUGCUUCGCUGACGAGUGGCGGACGGGUGAGUAAUGUCUGGGAAACUGCCUGAUGGAGGGGGGUAACUACUGGAAACGGUGGCUAAUACCGCAUAACGUCGCAAGACCAAAGAGGGGGACCUU
rnacentral:rRNA from 1 species